rnacentral:rRNA from 1 species
UACGAAGGGGGCUAGCGUUGCUCGGAAUCACUGGGCGUAAAGGGUGCGUAGGCGGGUCUUUAAGUCAGGGGUGAAAUCCUGGAGCUCAACUCCAGAACUGCCUUUGAUACUGAGGAUCUUGAGUUCGGGAGAGGUGAGUGGAACUGCGAGUGUAGAGGUGAAAUUCGUAGAUAUUCGCAAGAACACCGGUGGCGAAGGCGGCGACCUGGGUAGAUACUGACGCUGAGGCGCGAAAGCGUGGGGAGCAAACAGG